rnacentral:rRNA from 1 species
CUCCUACGGGAGGCAGCAGUGGGGAAUAUUGGACAAUGGGCGAAAGCCUGAUCCAGCCAUGCCGCGUGUGUGAAGAAGGUCUUCGGAUUGUAAAGCACUUUAAGUUGGGAGGAUGGGUUGUAGAUUAAUACUCUGCAAUUUUGACGUUACCGACAGAAUAAGCACCGGCUAACUUCGUGCCAGCAGCCGCGGUAAUACGAAGGGUGCAAGCGUUAAUCGGAAUUACUGGGCGUAAAGCGCGCGUAGGUGGUUCGUUAAGUUGGAUGUGAAAGCCCCGGGCUUAACCUGGGAACUGAUCCAAAACUGGCGAGCUAGAGUACGGUAGAGGGUGGUGGAAUUUCCUGU